AAUCGAAGAAGCGUCGGCAUGAGGAGUUGAUUGCUGGGAAUUCAAGACAAUGGCAGCAUAUGAUGUACGAGCCAUGGCUGGAGGAGUGAUCAGCAUUCCCAAAAUCAUCUAAGCACUUGCUAUUCAUACUGAAGAUGAAUGAUUACUCAAACGGUGAAGAUCAAUGAUCUCAUAAAGCUAUAUAGGAUCUUAUAUUGAAA
rnacentral:lncRNA from 1 species